rnacentral:rRNA from 1 species
GAUGAACGCUGGCGGCGUGCCUAAUACUUGCAAGUCGAGCGAACGGACGAGAAGCUUGCUUCUCUGAUGUUAGCGGCGGACGGGUGAGUAACACGUGGAUAACCUACCUAUAAGACUGGGAUAACUUCGGGAAACCGGAGCUAAUACCGGAUAAUAUUUUGAACCGCAUGGUUCAAAAGUGAAAGACGGUCUUGCUGUCACUUAUAGAUGGAUCCGCGCUGCAUUAGCUAGUUGGUAAGGUAACGGCUUACCAAGGCAACGAUGCAUAGCCGACCUGAGAGGGUGAUCGGCCACACUGGAACUGAGACACGGUCCAGACUCCUACGGGAGGCAGCAGUAGGGAAUUUUCCGCAAUGGGCGAAAGCCUGACGGAGCAACGCCGCGUGAGUGAUGAAGGUCUUCGGAGCGUAAAACUCUGUUAUUAGGGAAGAACAUAUGUGUAAGUAACUGUGCACAUCUUGACGGUACCUAAUCAGAAAGCCACGGCUAACUACG